ACGUGUUCCAUAUAACCUCCCUUAAUCCCAAUCCUUCUCCUCCAGCUAAUAAUGCGUACCGUCCGCCGAUGGGAAACCACCCCCAAAAUUCUGUGCGAGCAUCUCCAUCUCGAUCUAUCUCUAUUGCUGUCUCCUUCUCCAGUUCCACCGGUCGUGCUUCGUUCUCAUAUGGGAUUCGGAUUCCAAGGAUUAGGCAAUGAUUUCCGGCGGCGAGACGAACACCAUUGCAUCACAGACCAUUGACGAGCGAGUAGGUGCAGCGGCACUGCUGGUCCGGCAAUCCAAUUCGGAACUGGACAUCUUUAAAUCUCCCUCUCGCCCCAUCCAAUUUUUGCAGUCUUUUUUUUCGAGAUCUAAAUACAGUAUUAUUUUUGCAGUCUUUGGUUGGCUUGAUCUGUUACUCAUUAUCUUAGGUAAUUUGCUUGGUGGAUCUGUGAUGCUCCGCCUGCCGUUCCUGCCUCUCAUUCACGGACGCUCGCUCCUGGGUAUUCUGCAACAGUGCCGAAUUCCCUGCCCUCACCCAGCUUCGCCUCUCUUAAUCAGACCAGAGGCAAAUCUUCAUUCUUUGUGCAGUGCAAGUAUGACAAGUAUAAAGCCAUGGCUGUACAGAAGAAGGGUUCAUAGAGUAAUCAGAGUAUGUGGUGCAGCCUGGUGACGUCCUUGGUCCUGAGAUUCCCAAUACAAGUGGAUGAUGCAAGGCUGAUAAUAGUCCUACUACAGAUAGUUAGAAAUUAGUGUUUAGAAUUUCAUUUUCACAUAUACACAUCUUGUAUUCUUUGGAUCGUCUUCUUUGUAAAGCUACAAAGCUAAUUC